AAUGAACGCUGGCGGCGUGGAUUAGGCAUGCAGGUCGAACGCGAAAGUUCCCUUCGGGUGCCGGCGAGUGGCGAACGGGUGAGUAAUAUAUCGGAACGUACCUUUCAGUGGGGGAUAACGUAGCGAAAGUUACGCUAAUACCGCAUAUUCUGUGAGCAGGAAAGCAGGGAAUCGCAAGACCUUGCGCUGAUUGAGCGGCCGAUACCAGAUUAGCUAGUUGGUGAGGUAAAGGCUCACCAAGGCGACGAUCUGUAGCGGGUCUGAGAGGAUGAUCCGCCACACUGGAACUGAGACACGGUCCAGACUCCUACGGGAGGCGGCAGUGGGGAAUUUUGGACAAUGGGCGCAAGCCUGAUCCAGCCAUGCCGCGUGAGUGAAGAAGGCCUCGGUUGUAAG
rnacentral:rRNA from 1 species